rfam:Hafnia alvei FB1, complete genome.
GGUAUGCGUUUAAGGUGCGCUGGCAAAGCGCCGAGCGAACGCAGUCUUGGCUGUCGAAGCGGAUGAUACUGACCAUCCCAUCCUCGGUGAAGCGUUGCAGCGCAUCUUCGAGGCCGGAUUUCACUCCGCGAGGCAAAUCACAUUGGGUAAUGUCGCCGUUAACCACCACGGUGACGUUUUCCCCCAGACGGGUG